GAGUCUCGUCUAGGAGCUUUGUCUACAAGCUCCUUCUGCCUUGCCUUAGAUGGCCUAAUCUAAUCAAUACAGAUACCAAAACGUCCUAAAGAUGCCUUAAAGUGAAGCCUUCGUGUCAAGGAACAUCACCGUUGGAAAUGGUCACCGAACGUGAGAUGGAGAUUAGGAGUCACCUUGUUUUGAGAGCUCUGUGGGUUUCCGGGUAGCCUGUUUCAGAGACCCUGAUUUGGGAGAUCACAUGUCUUGCAAAACCAGUUUGGGGUCACCUCCAAGUGUUCCUGGACCUUCUAGACUUCUGCCUUAGACUGAAGCACUUAGUGACCUCAGUCUCAGCUGGCGCUCGAUGUUCAAAGGUUAGCGUCGAGGUACGCUGAGGAGACCCAAAGGGGGCGGAACCACCCUGCAUAGCAUUAGACUUUUAACUCUGCUCCCGCCCUCGGUCCCCUGUAUCAGAUUGGUUGGAAGGAGAGCGUGGGUUAAGGGGGCAUGGACCUGCCUUCCCCUUUCUGGUUCAGGAGCCAAACUUCAUCUUGGAGUCAGAACAAAGCCAUGGCCGGAUCACACUAAGGAGCUCCAGCCUGUUUUGGGACAGAGCCAGGACCCAGAAACCAUUGCCAUGAGCCACCAGCUGGCUCCGGUCCCGGAAAACUUGUGCAGCUGCCGCACAGGCCAGACUGGGCCUGCACACUGUCACAGUGCCAGGCCCUCCAUUAAGGCCCCCGGUCUCCGCUCUCACCAGGCUCACACCCAACUUGCCCCGUGUACUUUGGCAUCCUCCUGCCUUGAGGUGUGCCCUGGGAUUACAGGGGAGGCUUCAGAACCACCGAGUGACCUGCCUCCUCUUAUCUUUCUGGGAAUUACACAGUUGUUCUGGAACCCCUUGGAGAGGUCAAGGUAGAUGGCUCCAGUCGCUGGUCUGAUGAAAAUGGAGGAUUGAAUCAUUUCCCUUAACUCUGUGUGGUCUAAUUUAAGUGCCUGUCAUUAGUGCUUCUAAGGAGAACACAGGCUUUGAUCAUGGCAGAAAUGGAGUGGGCAGAGUAAGUAGCAAGAUACAUCCCGGAAGAGGUAUGGCUCUUCCGGAUACUGAGAUGGGACAGUGCAGGGCGUGUUUGGAGCACGGAGGGUCCUCUGGAACAGCCGGGGUGCGCAGAAUAACAUAGGGGGUGACAGGAGCUAGAUUGAGGGGUCACAUCAGACGAGAUGGUGAUUGUUCUGGAAAACGAACCCCCUGGAUUCCAUCCUAGAGGCAAAGCCGAGACACGUGGAGAAUCUUAAGCAACCGACAAGGUCAAGGAAUUUAAGUUAGUGUGUACGGCAAACGAAAGGUCUGCAGAAGUCUGGAGUUCACUCCGGAUGGAUGAACAAGCCAAGCGGAACGAGGGCCUUUCCUAUUGUCCAGUUGAACCUCCUACAGGACUGGCAGGUUUUCUCCACCCCAACCAGAUAAACCCCAAUUCUCCUCAAGCCCCCAAAUUCAAAUCUUGAGAGCUGGAAAUCUUCCUUUCCCAGACAACUCCUCCAAAACAAUUAACACUUGGCUCAGACUGUCUGGUACCCUAAUGUCUGUCUAGAGUCAGCAGCGAUAAACUGUUUCUCACACUCUCCCCAGAAGGAGUGUGAAGAAAGGCCAAACCCUACCCCUGGAACACAGUUCACCAUAUUCCAGUAGAGACCUUGCCUCAGAUUACGGAACAAGCUAGAUUAUAGAAGACUUCUUGUCUAGUGACAUUUGUUUCCUAAACUUCUACAAUAAAGCCUGUUUUUUAAUCU
rnacentral:lncRNA from 1 species